GGUAUCUCAGUCUUUUACACAUGUUUUUAGUCCCCUCACGAUAUAAUAAGCUUCCCUUCUUCAUUCUUGCCAAAUAUAUGAGUAUAUCUGCUGUAUACGCGCGUAUACAGCCUUGUUUCUUCAAAAAUAAAGGUAUGUGAGACUUGGUCCCGGAGAGAUGUAGGAAUAUGGAGUAUGCAAGAGAAGAGUUCGUUUGAACUUCUUUCAGGCAGCAAACCGGAACGAGUCGACGACGACGACUUCAACACGGAGUUAAAAUUUUGAAUCUUUGGAAUUUAAUUUCCGUUGGGAUUGAGUUGUUGUCGGCGGAGUUUUGGUUGAAGUUGUCGCGUGUUGCUGUUGUUUAAGGGGAAAGUCAAAAGGAUUAUUGGGUC
rnacentral:lncRNA from 1 species